UGUUCUGUUACUUCAGACUGUCUAUCUAUUGUUAGGGUUCUCAAUUCCACUACCUCAUUCUUGUUCCUUCACAGCUUCUAGUUGGGUUGACCCAACUGUCUGCCUUCUUCCCAUCCAUCUAUACCAGGCACUUCCAGCGGAAGUGGGACAAUCCGUGCUUCACACUCUGAUGCUGGUGAACAUAUAUAGAGCUUACUAUGCACAGCACUGUUAUAUGAAUUUAUGUGUGUUAACUGAUCAAUUCUUUAGACCACUCAAGGAGGGAAGAUGAAACACUGAAUUAGGAAAUCUGGGAAACUGCAGACACAUUUUCUAACAUGUUCAAAUCAGGAAAAAAAAGUCAUUCCAUGUGUGCAUUUCAGAAGGCAUUCAUAGCACUGGCUUCACAAUUUCUCCCUUGGACAACCACAAGAGGCAUCCUUAAAACUGUGAGAGAAAACCUAAUACAACUGAUACAAAUAAAGAAAACCCAGCUCCUCACCCCUUGACCUUCCUCACUGUCACCAAAAUCAAUUUUUUGUUGUUUCUGGGUUUUUCUUUUUUAAAUAAAAAUAAUGCAUUGUUUCUUAUUAUCCUGUGGAUUCAAUGGGCUCAGCUGGACCCUUUUGCUGGAUACCAUGAAGGCCAGUUCAUGCAUAGGGCUGCACUCAGCUGACUGUUCCAUCCAAGAUGUCCCCUCAUGUUCCAGGGUCUUAGUAUUUUAAAGUGGUAAUCAUGACCUUUUAAUGAAUCUUGAAAUCAAUUUAAUGGACCAAUUGUAUUAGUCUGUUCUCAGACUGCUAAUAAAGACAUACCCAAGACUGGGUAAUUUAUAAAGGAAAGAGGUUUAAUUGACUCACAAUUCCACAUGGCUGGGGAGGCCUCACAAUCAUGGUAGAAGGAGAAUGAGGAGCAAAGUCACAUCUUAUAUGGCAGCAGACAGGAGAGCUUGUGCAGGGAACUCCCAUGUAUAUAACCAUCAGAUUUGUGAGACUUAUUCACUACCAUGAGAACAGCAUGGAGGAAACUGCCCCCAUGAUUCAAUUAUCUCCACCUGGCCCUGCUCUUGACAUGUGGG
rnacentral:lncRNA from 1 species